UAACGCAUAUGUUUAGUGGUAUGGGCUUUAGAUCGGACAGUUUCUUUGGCCCUAAUCUAUUUUCGUGAUGUUGUGUGUUAUUCACUGAGAGCGUUAUGGUUUUUACAUGUUAAUCUCCAUUAAUUCAGACGAGUUCUUCAAUGGUUCUUUUAGAUCUGAUAGGCGGUAUAAAUAGAUGUGAGUAUUCUCCCCGCUCGAUGUGCUCAGAACUUCAAGCUUUCCAACUCCUCUUUACUGAUUCGGUUCAAUGAUUCAACCGAUUUUGACGAGUUCACCGAACCGGUCUAUCCGUUACCUGAAGAAGGAUCUCGGUUCCGUAACUAAAUCGAGAUGGUUGGAUUAGCUAACACAAACACACAGCUUCCAGAUAUUUUAGGAAAAGAUGGGCACAACUGGAGGAAGAAGAAAGAUGGUAAAAUGGUGAAAGAGGCUCACGAAAAGCUCAAGGGUAAUAGGAUAAGCUCCAGUGGAAUAAAAGAAAACAAUUCAAAUUCAUUGCUGUGAAUAUUGAUUCAACGGCAAACACAUCCAGAACAUUGUCACCACUAUGUGAAGAUGUUGAUUCUGGAAACCGAGAUGGUUGGAUUCAUGGGAAUAGAGUAAAAUAAAACAACUCCCAAAGAUUGAUGGGUGUCCCAGCAUUAGAUGCUUCCUUUGAGAAUCCGUUGGCAAGAUACCAGAACCUACCUUAUAAUCCUCUGUUGACUCAGGCAAAUCCUUCUAAUGCUGGAUUAGUGUCUGUGGAAGGGCAUCUCAGAAAUCCUCUUCAAAACCAAGAAAUUGGCAGAAUCCAGUUCAGGACAGCUUUCCACUGCAAAAAUGGCCCGUGGACUCCCAUGGUACUGACCUGGCCUUACAUGAGAAUUUCGAGACGUUUUCGAGUCUUAUCGACGGUCAAAACCAGCAGCAGCCUACCGGGAGUAGUUUUCAAGCUCCGUUUUCAUGGACCUGGACCUCUAGACUCUCUCUAUCGACCGUUUCUAUAAUCUUAGGCAUCGAUGUCUUGCUAGCGGUAACGUCCAAGCACGCUACGUGUGAGGAAUUCAGAAAUAUUUUCGAAAUGACAACCCAAUCGAUGGCAUGGUGAGCAAGCUGUCGGUCGUGCCUACCUCGACAUGCUUGGCUGGAGGGAGUCUCCAACUAAAUUAGACGGAUGCUAGAGGCGAAUUAAAUCUUCGCUUCAGGUAUUGCUGUUGCGACACUCCCGGUUUACACGGCGACUUACCAAGAGACAAGAACUGCUAUUACAUGUCACCGUAAUAAUAUUGGUCGAAGAUGCGAGCUGUGCUUCUACUUUAGACAGAUGCGAGGCUUUAAUAUUUAACAUAUUUAGACAGUCCAUUGCCUAUCAGAUGGAAAUUAGAAGGCCUUCCAUUCUAAAUGUCAACAACCAGAAACUUAUUUUAUAGCAAAAAAAAUGUUCGAAUAGAGACCAGUUAAAAUUAUCUAUAAAUUAAAUUUUAAAACA